GAUGAACGCUGGCGGCGUGCCUAACACAUGCAAGUCGAGCGAACCCUUCGGGGUGAGCGGCGGACGGGUGAGUAACGCGUGGGUAACCUGCCCUGUACACACGGAUAACAUACCGAAAGGUAUGCUAAUACGGGCUAAUAUGCUUUAGUCGCAUGGCUGAAGUAUCAAAGCUCCGGCGGUACAGGAUGGACCCGCGUCUGAUUAGCUAGUUGGUAAGGUAAGGGCUUACCAAGGCGACGAUCAGUAGCCGACCUGAGAGGGUGAUCGGCCACAGUGGAACUGAGACACGGUCCAAACUCCUACGGGAGGCAGCAGUGGGGAAUAUUGCACAAUGGGCGAAAGCCUGAUGCAGCAACGCCGCGUGAGCGAUGAAGGCCUUCGGGUCGUAAAGCUCUGUCCUCAAGGAAGAUAAUGACGGUACUUGAGGAGGAAGCCCCGGCUAACUACGUGCCAGCCGCCGCUGUAA
rnacentral:rRNA from 1 species